UACGGAGGGAGCAAGCGUUACUCGGAAUUAUUGGGCGUAAAGGGCGCGUAGGCGAUCUGACAAGUCUGGUGUGAAAGCCCACAUGUUAACUGUGGAAGUGCAUUAGAAACUGUUGGAUUUGAGUUCAGGAGAGGAAGGCAGAAUUCCCGGUGUAGCGGUGAAAUGCGUAGAGAUCGGGAGGAAUACCAGUGGCGAAGGCGGCCUUUUGGACUGACACUGACGCUGAGGCGCGAAAGCCAGGGGAGCAAACGGG
rnacentral:rRNA from 1 species